rnacentral:lncRNA from 1 species
GUAUCCCUAAUUUUAGUGGCUUAUGAGUGAAACAUUUGAUCUUAGGCUUAGAGGCCUGCUCUAAGCUGGCUUUCACUGGUGAACUCUCUUUUAGACUGCAGCCAGUUGGAUAUGACUCUACAUUGUGGGUUUAUUUAGAGGACCAGGCAGAGGGACAAAGGAUACCUAGGAAGCUGUUAUGAUAUUGUGCUAGUUUGAAGAUAAUUGGCUCCCAUCAUCUCAUAGGAAGUGAUACUAUUAGGAGGUGAGUCUUGGUUGGAUUGGAUUGAGUAUGGCCUUGUUGGAGGAAGUGUAUCAUUGUAGGGGCUGGCUUUGAGGUUUUCUAUGCUCAGGAUACCUCCCAGUUGCUCACUUGACAUCUUGUUGCUUUCAAGAUAUAGUACUCUCAGCUAUUCCUCCAGCACCAUGUCAGCCUGCAUGCUGUCAUGCUCCCAGCCAUGAUAAAGGACUGAACUUCUGAAAUUUAAGAAGAGUGUAAAUUCCUGAAAGGUUAUGGAUACCAGAUUAACCUGAAGGAGAGGAAAUGGCAUAAGAAAGCUAAUCAUCUAGAACUAGAAGAAACCAUCCUGAGUGAGGUAACCCAGUCACAAAAAGAUAAACAUGGUCCAUUCGGCUGAAGUCCCUGAAUCUGCCAGGAAUAGGCCUCCACCUUGCCAGCCUGAAAGGUUCUAGAGACUCAACUCACGCCAACAAGCUUGUUCAGGCAUUUUAUCUCAACAACAGGAAAAGAUGCUAAGAUAGGAAAUGACAUAUCCAACUUCUGGUCACCUGCUAAAACAGCCUCGGAGAUGUGGUUCUGAUGUUAGCCCAGGAAGAAUGAAGAAUUAGCUUAACAAACAGCUAUUCUCUGUUGCUGCAUCCUAAUUCCUCAUGUGGGUUUCCAUUUCUAUUACUACACUGUAUAGUCCAGUCUGCCCUCAAACUCAUGAUCCUCCAGCCUCAAAAUCCUGAGUGCUGAGAUUGCAGGAAUAUGCCACCAUGUCCAUUUUGAUUAUUUAUGUAACUGAUGGGGAAUGUACUGUGUAUGUUUAUCUUAUUGAUUGUUAAAUAAAAUACUGUUUGGCCAAUGAGACAGGAAGUUAGACAGACUAGGAGUCAAAGAGGAUUCUGGGAAACGUAGUAGAGAAGUGUUGAUCCAGGCAGGAAAUGACAUAGCAAGGAGACUCAUAUUUAAGUGAAGGAGAAACAGGAAGGGUUCUCUUUCCCAUUCGCCUCCUCCACGGCAGGAUGUGAGCCACUGGCAAGGAGGGACGCCAAUAAGGCAUCCGAUAACAUAAGUCUUAUAAAAUAUAUAGAUUUAUGAUAAUUAAGACUGAGCUAACAGAUGAGGAAUCCUAGUCAUUGGCCAAGCAGCUUUGAACCUAAUACAA